UUUCCGUAGGUGAACCUGCGGAAGGAUCAUUCAUAAUAAAGUGUUUUAUGGCACUUUUUAAAAAUCCAUACCCACCUUGUGUGCAAUGUUAGAUCUCGUCAAUCUUGGCGAGGUUUUUAUACAUCAACUCAUUCUUUAACUAAUUUGUCUGAAAAAUAUUAUGAAUACUUAAUUCAAAAUACAACUUUCAACAACGGAUCUCUUGGCUCUC
rnacentral:misc_RNA from 1 species